rnacentral:rRNA from 1 species
AACCCUUGUCAUUAGUUGCUACGAAAGGGCACUCUAAUGAGACUGCCGGUGACAAAACCCGGAGGAAGGUGGGGAUGACGUCAAAUCAUCAUGCCCUUUAUGACCUGGGCUACAAACGUACUACAAUGGCCAGAUACAAAGAGAUGCGAAGCCGCGAGGUGGAGCGAACCUCAUAAAAAUGGUCUCAGUUCGGAUUGGAGUCUGCAACUCGACUCCAUGAAGUCGGAAUCGCUAGUAAUCGCGGGUCAGCAGACCGCGGUGAAUACGUUCCCGGGUUUU